rnacentral:rRNA from 1 species
CUGCAACUCGACUGCAUGAAGCUGGAAUCGCUAGUAAUCGCGAAUCAGAAUGUCGCGGUGAAUACGUUCCCGGGUCUUGUACACACCGCCCGUCACACCAUGGGAGUUGGUAACGCCCGAAGUCAGUGACCCAACCGCAAGGAGGGAGCUGCCGAAGGCGGGACCGGUAACUGGGGUGAAGUCGUAACAAGGUACC